UUUUUUUUUUUUUUUUUUGUAACACAACAAAGUGAUUUUUGAUGCUUUUCUAGUUUGUCAGAGGGCUCUGAGGCUAUACAGAAGCAGCUUUAGUGAACAGAGGAGAGCGAGACGUGUCUUUGUGCUUCACAAUGAUUGCAAUGCCAGAGUGAUAUCCCAGGGGAGCUGUCAAACAGCUUGACAGCAAUUCUAGCAAGAAGUGGUAGAAACACAAUUUUGCAAUAAUGAUCAUACGUUUUUUGAAAUUUUCCUUUAUCCUUGAAAUGCCUUGUGUUGUUGAAAAUCUAUUCAUUACUGUUCAGUCAUCUGUAGCGAGUCAUCCCUUCAGGUCUCUGUACCCGGAAGUUACAGCCCUGGGAGAAUUUUGGCAGAGAGACAAAGGCUCCUAGGCACAGUGCGGGAGUCAGAAAGGUACAAGUAAAUAGCAGCUCCAAGGAGUUAGAUUUUUUUAAAAAAAUAAUAAAAGGAAAGGAAGUGAUAAGAAAUCAUCUUCCUCAAAGGGGCUUUAGUUUUCUGAAAGCAGGCACCAUAGCUCUUUAAUAUUUUUACCGUGCACAUCUCUGGUGCUUUCAUUUUCUUUUUCCUCUAAUCUCUUCCAUGCAUUUCCUUCAUUAAUUAUCCCUUUUCUCUCCAGGAUGUUCAACUUCUCCCUGUCCCUACUGCCUCCUUCACCUCGACCUAUCAAGAUGUACAAGUUUCUUACAUCCCCAGAAACUUCCAGCUACCCUCAGAUGCUCACUCUCUUCCCUUCUCUUUGUAGCCAAGGGACGAGCCUAUUCCAAUGCUACCCAAAGCAUGGGCUGCGGACCAGGAGCAUCAGCAUCCCAAGGGAGCCAGAUGUGAAAUGCAGUUCUCAGGCUCACCCAGACCUACUGAAUCCGAAUCUCUGUGGUUGGGGGUCCAAAAAUCUGUUUCAACACACUCUCCAUAUGAUGCUUACGCACAUUGGGGUCUGAAAAGCACUGCCUCUACUUCCUGUCUCCUUUCACCACUUUGGGUGAUCUUCCUCCGUCCCUUUAAGGCUUGCACCUUCCCCAGG
rnacentral:lncRNA from 1 species